AGUUGAAUUUAAAAGUUCUGCUGAAUUAGAAAUCCUUUUGCAUCAUCAAAACAAAUCUCAACUACGUCAGUCAGUGAGAGAAAAGCAAGUUAGAUUCAUAAAUGAUCACACAUUUUAAGUCUAUUUUAAUGAGAUCAAUUUUUCCAAUUUUGUUUAAUGGCAAGACAGGACAUUCAGUCAAUUAGAGGACGAAGUGAUAACUUGUCUGCUCAUGAGUACAAAGACUUGUUUUUUAAGCAAUGGUGAUUAUCAGAAUGAUUCGGUAAAAAUUCUGAGUCAGAUUCCUGUAGCCAAUUUGUUUACAAAGCCUGAUAUAAAAGAGUGAUAUUUGCAAGCACAUGCUAAAGUUUUCAUUUAAAGUCUGAAAAUAUUGUUGUUGGAAGUGUUCCAGCUCAGCAUUUAAGAAUCUCUCUAAUGUUUGAUGUUUAACUUUUCCCUCAAGGUCAUAUAAUAUAAAGAAAGGAGGAGUGAGUUUUCGCUUGCCUCGCCCACGUAGAUGCUCCUGCGUCCCCCGGUUCACCCUGAGCGCCAGCCAGCCAGCCGUUUCUGUGUUGUGGCCCUGUGGAAACUUGGGAGGCCCAGGGCACUCACAAAAGCAGACCUGCCUUGUGGCCUCCCUGCUGCCUUUGCAGCACAUCCGUCCCUCCUGGCCGGGAUCGCAACCACCAUCCUUGAACAGUCGCCCCUGUUCCCAUAGUGCUCCCCGCACGUGAGAGUCCCCAGCUUCAGAGCUCAGCCCAAGUGUAUGCUCCGCUUGCCCUCCCCGUCCUGGGACCCCAGCCGCCCCCCUCAGCUCUGUCCUCCCGCAGCCCAUGAACUCCUUGAAGCAAAGACUGGAUGUCACGACUCUGCAUCUCCAGCUCCUACGCAGGGCGGCUGCCUGCGGUUCGGUUCUGUUUUCUGAGCAGAGUGGGCCGGAGCCCGGCGCUCCACAUAGCCCCACCACACAUGUGGAAGAGGCCAGCUCUCUGGUCUUCAGGCUCCAUGUUUUUUCUCUAAGUGACAGAGCCUGUUUUUAAAUAAAGCACACCUCACUGGGAGGCCCUGUAUAUGAAAACAGAUUUGGGGGGCAGUUCAGGUAGCAGAGGGAGUGGGGACCCCAACACUGCCACAUUCUCCCUCCCACCUGACCCAACAUGCGAGGACUCAGGGGCUCAUGAGUUCAGGGAAAUUAAGCUUCCCAUUUGCCCAGCCCAGGUCGGGGGUUCAGCUGUCACGGCUACCGCUGGACUGCGUGGGGCCCGGGGGCCGUGAGUGUCCACAGCCCCACCUCCGGCUGCAGCCGGGAGGCUCCGGGCCAGAGCUCCGCUGGGUGGGGAGGACGGCGCAGCAAGGCGGGUGCUGGUGCUGGCGUGGGAGCCGUGCUCUGCACCACCCGCCUCACCCCUGCAGUUUCAGUUGGGGCGGAGGGAAAGUUCCACGGCGACGACUAAUCUCGUCUUUAAAUUUCCAUCUGUAGUAACAACAACAGUGCCUAACCCUAUAUAGUGCUGCUGGGUGACGGGCACCAUCUAAGACAUGCCUCUGUCCACAUAUUACCUCAACCAGGCCUCCUACCUAUUCUCAACCCCACGUUAUAGCCACGGACACUGAGCCCAAGGCAGGUGCUUGUGGCCUGAGAGCUGGAAGUGCAGCCAGGGCAGCCCGGACCUAGCGUGCAGGCUUGUAGUCACGACGCAGAGUGGAGAUCCCAGAAAGGUCUCCAGUGAGCAUUUAUGAGGGAUUUCACGGCAGCAGAAGGGAGCCGUGGGCUCACUGCAGUCACGUUUGAGGUUUUCCAUUCACUCAGGAUUGAGGCAAAACCAGAAACAUUCAAAAACUCGAGAAGUAGGCCCCAAAGCUCCAGUCUGCAUGGGACCCCUACUCUUCUGACGGGGAUGUGGUGGUGAUAAUCACCCCAGCUCCAGCUUACCAGGAGGCUCGCAUUGUCUGUAUUUGAGGGUGCCGAUAAUUACAAGCCCAUGCCUCCCUGUGCGCCCAGCCCUCUCCUAGGCCCUGACUUAACCCUUGCCUGAGCCUAUGGGGGGAGCAGAGAACUAGGGGAGCCCUGGGGGCGGGUAACAGCCUCUGCUGCAUGCAAGGGGCCUCUGGCUCUUGUUGGUCACCGACUCUCCCAGAGGAGAGGGGAGCAGAAGACAAGGUGAGGCAGGAUGGGCCUGCGCUGCUGGCUGGCGGCCCCAGUCCAAGACCAAGAGCAGCGCUGGAGUCUCACCCGGAAAGCGUCCGCCCUCCAUGGCCGUCCGCAGCCAUGCAGGUCCUUUUCCUAGAUUUCACCUCCCACAAGGUCUGGUUGCCUCAAAGAUUCAACGUCUAAACCACCACAGACCAAGGGCCUGCCCUCCCCCAAGGACAAGCUGCUCCACUGGGAGGGCGCUGACCUCAGACCCGGGAUUCCGAGAUGCGGCUGGAACACGGGCAGCCCUGCAGGCUCGGGCAGCAUCACUGCACCGGGCGGCCAACGUGAUGCCCAGAAAUGCUUCUCCAGUUUCACAGGAAGCCCAGUCACAUCUGGGGGCCCCUGAUGCCGUCCACAGACACCUGUGCUGCGAAUGCCCUGAGCCACAAACAUGGGCUCCUGGAGGCCAGCAGGUUAUGAAAUCUCACUGCAGAGCGUUCGUCCAGAGGAACCCAUCCUUAAAUGACCUGCGAACUGGGCAGCGACGGGUGGGCGCAGAACACGUCACAGACACGUGUAGCAGAAAUGUCCCAACCAUGUGUGGAAAAACACAUAAAUGGAAGGCCUACUUGGUGGUUUGUGUGCAGCCGACUCCUUCAAAGACAUUCUGCUUCCAAGCUGGUGUUUGAAUGUGCGUUUCAGGGGGCCACCUAGGAUGUGACAACAACAGCCUCUCCCUGACCCAGAAACACCACCCCAGCUGAUCAUGGAGCCCACAGCUCUACCAAUUCUCCAGAGAUCCUGCUGGCAUGGCCUCCAAGUGUGUCCUGGGCUCGGCUGCGCUUGACUCCUCCACUGCCGUGAGCCAUCCAAACGCCAACACUCUGGCUGGGACGUCACGUUACUUAGCCUCCUCUGAGGCCUCUCUGGUGGCUCCUGCCCCACAGCAGACGGGCUGACGCUCACCAUCUCUCCUGUCCUCCUGGGCACACGCUCCUCUCUGAGCCCAAGCUCUCCUGCAGGUGGGAGUGGCCCACAGCUGCGUUUGGGCUGGAAUGGGGUGGGGUGACUGCACUCCUAGGCUGAAUUCUACAGCUCCAGGGGCACAACUCCUGUCCUGCCCUUCUGCAGCUCAGGUCAGGGGACCCAGGUGACAUAAGGGACCUUGGUGCUGAAACAUGGCUUGGAGGAACGCCACUAGUCUGGAAAACUGGUUUUGACCCACAAGUACACAGUUGGCCCUACGCUGUCGCUCACCUCCUGUACCAGCUCGAAUAGUUUGCCAAAGCAUUUCUGGAAGCUUGUCUCCUUCUCUCUCAGAUCAGCAGAGCAGACUUCCUCCAGCCUCCCUGUCUCCCUGCACCCCACAGCCAGGCACAAGCCCACUUCGCUACCUACGGGAGGACUGAGCAGGAGAGUGACACUAUGAAUGUCUUCAGUACAUGCGUUCACUCCCCCCAGGGCUUCAUCUGACGCCGGCUCAUGCUACGGACUGGGAAGGACUGAGCAUCAGCCAUACAGCUCGGAUUUCCUGACGUGCGUCCACGGCACAAAAGCCAUAGGAGGUGCUUUGGGAAAGAGAUCCUGCAAUCAUAUGUGUGUGGGAAAUGCUGCCCAUUUCUUUCUUAGAGCUUCAAGACCGUGGUGGUGAUGCACAGGAAGUGUCCAGAACUGUUACGGUUCCACAAUCUAGACGUUUCUCUAAACCUUCUGAAACGGAUGAACUUCCUUUUCUUGGCUUGUUGUGUUUGGUUCUUCACUCCUGAGGCCAUGCAAGGGAAAGUGCAAAAGACAUCAGAGGAGAGAGAACACAGAGCAAGAGAGAGGCCUGCUGGUCCUGCAAUCCCCUAGAGAAAAUCU